AUCGAUGGUUCAAGUUCCCGACGUAAACACUCCUGUCGAGACCCCAUCUCCUGCUUCGCUGGAGGAUGAGGCGGCAGCACUG
rnacentral:tRNA from 1 species